GGAAGUAAUGCCUGGGGGCCGGUGAUGAGGUCGGAAACAGGGAAAGCCCUGAACACAUGGUCAAGGGGACUGGGCUUUAUCCAAGGGGUAAUGGAUGCUCCUUAAAGACUUUUGAGUAGAGCCAUGGCCUGCAUGUGAGACAUUAGCCUUAGCGUGGAGGAUGGACAGCAGUGAAGACACACUGGAGGCCAAAGGCCGAGCCACACGAUGAGAUCCAGUUGGAGGGUCAGCCCAUAAAUGCCCCUGCUCAGCUGAUACCCGAAAAGGACCACGUCUCCAUUGAAAACCUUUCUGAGGAAUCUCUCAUCUCCAGAGAAGAGCUGAUUUUUGAAGAGGAUGAUAUCAUCAAAUCUCCCAGGAGACCAAGGCAUCAAAGGCCCGAGCUGCGUCACCCCAUCCCCCAGGAGGACAGUGUCAGAAAGGCUGUCCCUCAGUCAGAAGAGACUACAGAACUCACUCCCAGUGCUGCAACCACCUCAGAGGGAAAGCUGGCCAAGCUGGGCCAUAAAAUCGGCAAGAAUCUGGACAAAACAGUGAAAGAAACCAUAAGCUAUCUGAAAAGCCUAUUACCUCAUGCCUAUGAAGUCAUAAGGCCCUAAUGAUAACAAGGCCCAGUCCUGGCCAAAGCUGGCGUCUACAGCACCCAAACCCUGCUCGCCCUGGCCACCAUCUCUCAGCU